ACGGCUCAGUAACACGUGGACAACCUACCCUACGGAGGGGGAUAACCCCGGGAAACUGGGGAUAAUACCCCAUAGACUAUGGAUGCUGGAAUGCUCUGUAGCCGAAAGGUCCGCCGCCGUAGGAUGGGUCUGCGGCCGAUUAGGUUGUUGUUGGGGUAACGGCCCAACAAGCCUGUAAUCGGUACGGGUUGUGGGAGCAAGAGCCCGGAGAUGGAUUCUGAGACACGAAUCCAGGCCCUACGGGGCGCAGCAGGCGCGAAAACUUUGCAAUGCGGGAAACCGUGACAAGGGAACUCUGAGUGCCCGUAAAAUCGGGCUGUCCAUCGGUUUAAAUAACCGGUGAAGAAAGGGCCGGGCAAGACCGGUGCCAGCCGCCGCGGUAAUACCGGCGGCUCGAGUGGUGGCCACUAUUACUGGGCUUAAAGCGUUCGUAGCUGGUUUGUUAAGUCUCUGGGGAAAUCUUCCGGCUUAACCGGAAGGCGUCUCAGGGAUACUGGCAGACUAGGGACCGGGAGAGGUGAGAGGUACUCCAGGGGUAGGAGUGAAAUCCUGUAAUCCUUGGGGGACCACCUGUGGCGAAGGCGUCUCACCAGAACGGCUCCGACAGUGAGGGACGAAAGCUAGGGGCACGAACCGGAUUAGAUACCCGGGUAGUCCUAGCCGUAAACGAUGCUCGCUAGGUGUCACAACAGUCGUGAACUGUUGUGGUGCCGUAGGGAAGCCGUGAAGCGAGCCACUUGGGAAGUACGACCGCAAGGUUGAAACUUAAAGGAGUUGGCGGGGGAGCAC
rnacentral:rRNA from 1 species